AUUGAACGCUGGCGGCAGGCCUAACACAUGCAAGUCGAACGGAGCUGCGGACGGGUGGGUAAUGCCUAGUACUUUGCCUGGUGGUGGGGUAUAAAGUCCAGAAACGGGCGCUAUUACCGCAUACUUUCAGAUGAGCUUAGGUCGGAUUAGGUGGUUGGUGGGGUAAAGGCUUACCAAGGCGACGAUCCGUAGCCGCUCGGAGAGGAUGAUCAGUCACAAGGGAACUGAGACACGGUCCAGACUCCUACGAGAGGCAGCAGUGGGGAAUAGUGGAGAAUGGGCGAAAGCCUGAUCCAGCAAUGCCGCGUGUGUGAAGAAGGUCGUCGGAUUGUAAAGCACUGUAGUUAGAGAGGCGUUACCAACAGAAAAAGCAACGGCUAAUUACGGGCCAGCAGCCGCGGUAAUAC
rnacentral:rRNA from 1 species